rnacentral:rRNA from 1 species
AUGCAUGCUCAUACUGCAGGCAAAGCUAUAUCCAUAUUCCUUCUACUCAAGGCACAUGUCUGCAUGCAACUUCCAGUUUCCACCUCCCCGAUCUAUUUUGCUUCUGUAGGCUUCUUCCAGCACCGCAAUUUAUCAAGGAAAGGAAGGAAUUUUUCACAUGGAGCUGCUGCCCUUGUCGCUAAGAAAGAACUAGAUCAUAGCCAAAAAGGAAGAUUGGUCCGAUUCGUCAUGCCUCCAGAGAAGAUAAAUAUCCAGGCAAAAAACAUCGAUGCUGCAGCAGAAGAGAUACUUGGUGUUUUGGAGGACACAAACAAAGGAAAUUUGAUCUACUUCAAGGCCUGGCAAGGAUUUGGAGCAUCCGCUGUUCUUAAUCUUGUAGCCCAACGCCUGAAAUCAUCCACAAGACAGAACAAGUUUGAUAAGGUUAUCCAUGUGGAUUGCUCCGUGUGGAAAAGCAUGAGGGCUCUGCAAAAAGAAAUCGCGGAGGCACUAGAGCUUCCGCAGUCAGUGAUGACCAUCUUUGAGCGGUGUGACGAGGACGACGAUUUCAGUGGAAUAGAUGAAGGCUCCAGAGGGGUGAUAGCAGAUAUCAGAGUGAAAAUAUGCAGAAAGCUUCUCAACAGUAGAUUUGUGCUGAUUUUUCACAACGGGAGCAGCAGAUACAUUGAUUUCUACGAGUGUGGUGUCCCAGCAAUACCCCUUUUGGGUAACAAGGUGUUGUGGACCUGGCACGGGAGGUUUCGGAUCAGUCUCGUACUGGAAGAUGAGGAAAAGAAAAAGAUGAAGACUCAGACAGAUGUUCGCUUAUCUGCUUCUCCUGAAUUUGAAGUUGCGGAAGUGUUUGAUCUACUGCGAGAACUACUGCAUGAAGAGGCUUUGGAGGUUGCCAGGUGCACGAGGAUUGUUCAGUCCGAUGAUAUGAGCCACAAGAAAGUCAUGGAGUGCCUCAUAUACAGGACACUGAUUCCUACGGACUUGAAGACACAUGCACCAAACUAUUGGAUCUGCGAUGGUAUUAUACAAGGCCAAGACAAUGCAUCAGCAUGGGAGAUUGGCAAUUCUCUUCAUAGAAACAUGAGCCUGUAUUGGUCGUUUGAAUACAAUGAGGUCACAGCUCCUGCGCUACAAGUGUCGGAUGAUUUACUUGUUAACCGCUGGAAUUUCACAACCCACGAACAACUGGUAAAGGAUAACACUCGUGUGCUGCCUCCUCAGGUGACAUCCUUCUUCCUUUCUGAAGAUGAACCACCAACAAAUACAACAUCAAUAUUGCCAGUUCGCAUGUUCCAGCAUUCACAAGGCAGCAAGCUACGUGUGUUACAUUUGUCUCAUUGCACCUUCAGUUUUGCAUCUCCUCCCUUCGUCCCUUGCGUCCAACUAAGAUUGCUCCAUCUGGACCAGUGCACAAAUAUCACAGACGAUGAUGAGCAUCCAAGCCACAAUGAAAACGUGUCAUGUUUCCGGAAGCUCUGGGUGCUGGAUCUGAGGUAUACAGAUUGGUACUGGCUGCUAUCUGAAAAGAUGAAGAGAGUGAUGGUUGAACUCAGGGAGUUGAAUGUGGAGGGAGUCAAGCAUAGGAGCAUAAACGAUUUGUGUGGUGGUAGACCAAGCCUUGUAAUACUUCGAGUAACAGCAGAAGAUCCGGUACCUACGGAGAACGAAGACACAAAUAAUCAUUCACAAUUCCCCAAUAUGGGCAGUACAAACAGCCUUACGACAUCUGGCUUCAUCAACGACGUCCUGCCUCCGUCGCUCGAGUCAUUUAGCUUCAUAAACAAAGCUGCAACGUCUGCCAAGAUAUCUAACAUCUCCUUCCGGGGUUGUUCUCGGUUGAAGAAUAUACUUCUCAGAGGAAAUUUGGGGAGCCUGGAGGAGCUGGACCUCUCGGGCACGGCAGUGAAAACCCUUGACCUGAGAGAAGUUGAAGCUCCAAACCUCGAUCGUCUCAUCCUGCUGGGCUGCGAGAAGCUCUGUGCAAUAUUGUGGCCACAAGGAAAUAAAAGGGCACUGGUUUUGGAUGUGCUGCGCAUCAACACCAUCCGAUCUGGGUUACCUAGCCAAGCUAAUUCAAAAGAAAAGAUCAAUGAGGCUAGUUCUGCUACAAGAUCAUCAUCUACUCUUCCUGUUGUUGCUACACAACCAGACAUCUUUUCCUGUAAUUGGUACAUCGCUGUAAGGGAUGCAAGGCUCCUUAGGUCUCUUGACCCCCUCAAAAGAAAAUUUUCCGGGCCUUACAUAUUUAUGGAAAUAAAUUCAUCUCCUCGAAGUAGAGUUGAUGUUGAUGACAGUCAAGUUGCUAAAGGAAUCAGGAGCCUACAACAUCCUGAUCAUUAUUUAUAUGCAAGGGAUGUUGUCUUUCAAGGCCACCUGCAGUCUGGUGCUGGUAAUGAAGGCACGAUUAGCUGGAUAUGGGUGUGCCCACCUAGGCCUACUCCAAGGGCUCAACACUGGUACGUUCACUUACAAGAUGAACAGAAGAUGAAGCAGAGAUUACUACAGCAAGAACAGAGCAGCAUAGAAGGAAUUAGUACUAUUGCUAGCCGCACUGACGCGCUUUAUGUGCAUCAUAACUCAUCCAUCACUUGCAUUCCAUGCGCACAAGAUUCCACAUGGUACUACCUCCGAUGGGGCCGUGUUGAGAGGUGCCCCAACCUAUGCUCUGUCUUUGCUACUCCCCAAGUUAGAGAUGGCCAGACCACCUUUGGGUCCUUGUCUAUGUUCUGGGUGUCCCAGCUCGUGAAGGCGUGCUACAUCUGGAACUGGAGUGAAGUAGCUCAGCCUGGUAGUCGUUCGUUUAAAGACCUAGCGUUCUUGCACCUGGACUGUUGCCCCAGGCUCAUACAUGUGCUUCCCUUGUCUGAGCAUAUGGACACCUUGCCUAGCCUAGAGACACUUGAGAUUGUGUACUGUGGUGAUCUGAAGGAGGUCUUCCCAUUGGACCCUAAGCGCCAAGAGAAGCAGGAAACUAUAAAAUUUCCCAACCUAAGAAGGAUCCACCUAUACCAGCUCUCCACUCUACAGAGCAUCUGUGGGAGCAGGAUGUCUGCACCGAAUUUGGAGACCGUCAAAAUCAGGGGCUGCUGGGGCCUAAGGCGUCUGCCGGCUAUCAGCAGAAGAACUACCAAGCGGCCCAAGGUGGAUUGCGAGAAGGACUGGUGGGACAACCUGGAGUGGGAUGGGGUGGAUGCGAACCACGACCCUUCCUUCUACGAGCCGAGCCACUCGCGAUACUACAAGAAGCCCCACCUGCCAAGAGGCACCGUGCUCAGGUAA